rnacentral:rRNA from 1 species
GAUGAACGCUGGCGGCGUGCCUAAUACAUGCAAGUCGAGCGAACAGACGAGGAGCUUGCUCCUCUGACGUUAGCGGCGGACGGGUGAGUCACACGUGGAUAACCUACCUAUAAGACUGGGAUAACUUCGGGACACCGGAGCUAAUACCGGAUCAUAUAUUGAACCGCAUGGUUCAAUAGUGAAAGACGGUUUUGCUGUCACUUAUAGAUGGAUCCGCGCCGCAUUAGCUAGUUGGUAAGGUAACGGCUUACCAAGGCAACGAUGCGUAGCCGACCUGAGAGGUGGAUCGGCCACAUGGGAACGGGACCCCGGCCCAGACUCCUACGGGAGGCAGAAUAAGGGAAUCUCCCGCAAAGGGCGAAGUCCUGACGGAGCAACGCCGGGUGGGGGAGGAAGUUCUCCGGAUCGUAAAACUCGUUUAAUAGGGAGAACCAAUGGGGUAAGGAACUAUGCACGGCUUGACGGUACCUAAUCAGAAAGCCACGGCUAACUACGUG